rnacentral:rRNA from 1 species
GACGAACGCUGGCGGCGUGCCUAAUACAUGCAGGUCGAGCGAGCUGAACCAGCAGAUUCACUUCGGUGAUGACGCUGGGAACGCGAGCGGCGGAUGGGUGAGUAACACGUGGGUAACCUGCCCUAAAGUCUGGGAUACCGCUUGGAAACAGGUGCUAAUACCGGAUAACAACAAUAGCUGCAUGGCUAUUGCUUAAAAGGCGGCGAAAGCUGUCGCUAAGGGAUGGACCCGCGGUGCAUUAGCUAGUUGGUAAGGUAACGGCUUACCAAGGCGACGAUGCAUAACCGCGUUGAGAGACUGAUCGGCCACAUUGGGACUGAGACACGGCCCAAACUCCUACGGGAGGCAGCAGUAGGGAAUCUUCCACAAUGGGCGAAAGCCUGAUGGAGCAACGCCGCGUGAGUGAAGAAGGUUUUCGGAUCGUAAAGCUCUGUUGUUGGUGAAGAAGGAUAGAGGUAGUAACUGGCCCCUAUUUGACGGUAAUCAACCAGAAAGUCACGGCUAACUACGUGCCAGCCGCCGCCGUAAGAC